UUAAGUUAUUAAGGGCGCACGGUGGAUGCCUUGGCACUAGAAGCCGAUGAAGGACGUUACUAACGACGAUAUGCUUUGGGGAGCUGUAAGUAAGCUUUGAUCCAGAGAUUUCCGAAUGGGGAAACCCAGCAUGAGUUAUGUCAUGUUAUCGAUAUGUGAAUACAUAGCAUAUCAGAAGGCACACCCGGAGAACUGAAACAUCUUAGUACCCGGAGGAAGAGAAAGAAAAUUCGAUUCCCUUAGUAGCGGCGAGCGAAACGGGAAGAGCCCAAACCAACAAGCUUGCUUGUUGGGGUUGUAGGACACUCUAUACGGAGUUACAAAGGACGACAUUAGACGAAUCAUCUGGAAAGAUGAAUCAAAGAAGGUAAUAAUCCUGUAGUCGAAAAUGUUGUCUCUCUUGAGUGGAUCCUGAGUACGACGGAGCACGUGAAAUUCCGUCGGAAUCUGGGAGGACCAUCUCCUAAGGCUAAAUACUCUCUAGUGACCGAUAGUGAACCAGUACCGUGAGGGAAAGGUGAAAAGCACCCCGGAAGGGGAGUGAAAUAGAACCUGAAACCGUGUGCUUACAAGUAGUCAGAGCCCGUUAAUGGGUGAUGGCGUGCCUUUUGUAGAAUGAACCGGCGAGUUACGAUUUGAUGCAAGGUUAAGCAGUAAAUGUGGAGCCGUAGCGAAAGCGAGUCUGAAUAGGGCGUUUAGUAUUUGGUCGUAGACCCGAAACCAGGUGAUCUACCCUUGGUCAGGUUGAAGUUCAGGUAACACUGAAUGGAGGACCGAACCGACUUACGUUGAAAAGUGAGCGGAUGAACUGAGGGUAGCGGAGAAAUUCCAAUCGAACCUGGAGAUAGCUGGUUCUCUCCGAAAUAGCUUUAGGGCUAGCCUCAAGUGAUGAUUAUUGGAGGUAGAGCACUGUUUGGACGAGGGGCCCCUCUCGGGUUACCGAAUUCAGACAAACUCCGAAUGCCAAUUAAUUUAACUUGGGAGUCAGAACAUGGGUGAUAAGGUCCGUGUUCGAAAGGGAAACAGCCCAGACCACCAGCUAAGGUCCCAAAAUAUAUGUUAAGUGGAAAAGGAUGUGGCGUUGCCCAGACAACUAGGAUGUUGGCUUAGAAGCAGCCAUCAUUUAAAGAGUGCGUAAUAGCUCACUAGUCGAGUGACACUGCGCCGAAAAUGUACCGGGGCUAAACAUAUUACCGAAGCUGUGGAUUGUCCUUUGGACAAUGGUAGGAGAGCGUUCUAAGGGCGUUGAAGCAUGAUCGUAAGGACAUGUGGAGCGCUUAGAAGUGAGAAUGCCGGUGUGAGUAGCGAAAGACGGGUGAGAAUCCCGUCCACCGAUUGACUAAGGUUUCCAGAGGAAGGCUCGUCCGCUCUGGGUUAGUCGGGUCCUAAGCUGAGGCCGACAGGCGUAGGCGAUGGAUAACAGGUUGACAUUCCUGUACCACCUAUAAUCGUUUUAAUCGAUGGGGGGACGCAGUAGGAUAGGCGAAGCGUGCGAUUGGAUUGCACGUCUAAGCAGUAAGGCUGAGUAUUAGGCAAAUCCGGUACUCGUUAAGGCUGAGCUGUGAUGGGGAGAAGACAUUGUGUCUUCGAGUCGUUGAUUUCACACUGCCGAGAAAAGCCUCUAGAUAGAAAAUAGGUGCCCGUACCGCAAACCGACACAGGUAGUCAAGAUGAGAAUUCUAAGGUGAGCGAGCGAACUCUCGUUAAGGAACUCGGCAAAAUGACCCCGUAACUUCGGGAGAAGGGGUGCUCUUUAGGGUUAACGCCCAGAAGAGCCGCAGUGAAUAGGCCCAAGCGACUGUUUAUCAAAAACACAGGUCUCUGCUAAACCGUAAGGUGAUGUAUAGGGGCUGACGCCUGCCCGGUGCUGGAAGGUUAAGAGGAGUGGUUAGCUUCUGCGAAGCUACGAAUCGAAGCCCCAGUAAACGGCGGCCGUAACUAUAACGGUCCUAAGGUAGCGAAAUUCCUUGUCGGGUAAGUUCCGACCCGCACGAAAGGCGUAACGAUUUGGGCACUGUCUCAACGAGAGACUCGGUGAAAUCAUAGUACCUGUGAAGAUGCAGGUUACCCGCGACAGGACGGAAAGACCCCGUGGAGCUUUACUGUAGCCUGAUAUUGAAAUUCGGCACAGCUUGUACAGGAUAGGUAGGAGCCUUUGAAACGUGAGCGCUAGCUUACGUGGAGGCGCUGGUGGGAUACUACCCUAGCUGUGUUGGCUUUCUAACCCGCACCACUUAUCGUGGUGGGAGACAGUGUCAGGCGGGCAGUUUGACUGGGGCGGUCGCCUCCUAAAAGGUAACGGAGGCGCUCAAAGGUUCCCUCAGAAUGGUUGGAAAUCAUUCAUAGAGUGUAAAGGCAUAAGGGAGCUUGACUGCGAGACCUACAAGUCGAGCAGGGUCGAAAGACGGACUUAGUGAUCCGGUGGUUCCGCAUGGAAGGGCCAUCGCUCAACGGAUAAAAGCUACCCCGGGGAUAACAGGCUUAUCUCCCCCAAGAGUUCACAUCGACGGGGAGGUUUGGCACCUCGAUGUCGGCUCAUCGCAUCCUGGGGCUGUAGUCGGUCCCAAGGGUUGGGCUGUUCGCCCAUUAAAGCGGUACGCGAGCUGGGUUCAGAACGUCGUGAGACAGUUCGGUCCCUAUCCGUCGUGGGCGUAGGAAAUUUGAGAGGAGCUGUCCUUAGUACGAGAGGACCGGGAUGGACAUACCUCUGGUGUACCAGUUGUCGUGCCAACGGCAUAGCUGGGUAGCUAUGUGUGGACGGGAUAAGUGCUGAAAGCAUCUAAGCAUGAAGCCCCCCUCAAGAUGAGAUUUCCCAACUUCGGUUAUAAGAUCCCUCAAAGAUGAUGAGGUUAAUAGGUUCGAGGUGGAAGCAUGGUGACAUGUGGAGCUGACGAAUACUAAUCGAUCGAAGACUUAAUCAA
rnacentral:rRNA from 1 species